ACUUUAUCUUCCUCAUUUCUGUUUCCUCUUCAUGACACCAAGAGUCCUUCAGAACAUGUGACCUUCCUGCUCUCAACAUAAAACUCAGCUUUCUGUGGCCUCUAUAGUUCGGCUCAGCAUCUAUAUCCCAUCCAAGACAAAGGCUCCACUUCAAUCACAGGUUACCAGCCUUUGGCUGGGAAAGAAGAUGAGACUGCUGCUUGAAUGUAGACCUCUAGGCAGAGCUGAACAUCCCUUAGAAAACUGCUGGUGACCUGAAAGGUGCACAUCUUCCAGCAUGUUCUUGCUGCCCCGUGGAGGCUCCUGAUCUGGCCUUCAGCAGUGUCACGCUCCGUGUAUUUGACAAGCUGAGUUGGACACUCUGUGUGGUAGAGUGUCAGUUUGUCAAAUACCCCAAGUGUGGCUCAUGCCUAUCAGCUCCAGGUCCAGGACAGAGCAAAUACACUGCUGACUAUAUACAAAUGCUUAUGAAACAUGAAGCUCUUUGGGGUUAUUCUAUGGCUUUGAGGGAACUAUAACAUUAUUCAGAGGACAUCAGAGUAGGAACGAUGCAACUCUGCAGCCUACAAGUCUGGUAUGCAUCUCUGUACAUUGUGAAAAUGCACAGUGGUCUUGAAAAUGCAUAAGGGAUACUGGGAAUGAGAGUAUUAUUUGAUUUAUUAUUAAUGUCUUCUUUCACAUUCCCCUUCUUGCAGCCAGGACAGCAGAAUUUUCAUACAAGCAUCAUGAAUUCUAUGAGAAAGUAGGAAAUAAAUAUCCAUGGUCUGGCCUUUGGAACACAUCUUAAUCUUACCUACAUUUUCUCUUUUCCUCUUUGCUUUUAUCCUCCUUAAAACAACCUUCUUAUUUAUCUUUCCUGGACUUUCAGACCCUGCCAAAUUCUAAUUUCUCUGGGCACUAUUGAAAGUUAUCUUAUAUUUUUCUUUACUCCUUGGCUAAACACAUACUGAUAUGUGCUCUUCUAUGUCCUACCACCCAAUACAUCCUCUAAAGUCAGUGAAUUUAUUUUACCAUGGUAUGUUCUUGAAUUCCCUAUUAUAUUGUAAGAGUCUAGACCUUAUUAUACUUGCUUGGUUGCUGUCUCUCCUACCAUUGUCCAACAUUUUAAUUAUUUAAUAAAUGUUUACCAAUUAAU